rnacentral:rRNA from 1 species
CCUACGGGAGGCAGCAGUAAGGAAUAUUGCGCAAUGGGCGAAAGCCUGACGCAGCGACGCCGCGUGGGGGAUGAAGGUCUCCGGAUUGUAAACCCCUUUCGGGAGGGAAGAUGGAACGAGCAAUCGUUCGGACGGUACCUCCAGAAGCAGCCACGGCCAACUUCGUGCCAGCAGCCGCGGUAAU